GCUACACUCAUACUGUCCCUGACCGUAAAGAAAAAAGCUAAUUGAACAAUAAACUUCGGCGUCUCAACACUGUAGUGAACUCCGUCGUUAUUCCCCAAGAUCACCUCAGCAACUCUGCGCGUAACCGGGCAAUAUGCUUGGCGCCACACCGAACGUGGACGCGGACAGAUAUGUACGGGGACGCGGACAGUUCUGUACGGGGAGACGGACAGUUCUGUACGGGGAGACGGACAGUUCUGUAUGGAGACGCGGACAGUUCCAGAACGCGGACAUGAGCAGUGCAACACAAUCAACUAAACCCAGUCUUUACAAUUAACUCAGGUUGGAGUUGGAGCUGUGACCGAAAGGUGGCUGGUUCGAAUCCCGGGCCGGGCGCUGGAAAAAACAGGUGGAAUUGAUCUGACCACUGGAGGGCUGCUGGGUUCACAUCCUAAAAACAUGAACCUUUUGUUGAUCAGAACUCUAGAGGUUCUUCUUCACUGAACCCAAAAUAUAUAUCACUUUUAGUGGUUCCAUAUAUUAAGGAAGUGAUAGAAGCCUUUUUGGUUCUAUAAGGAACCUUCUUUUCUAAGAGUGUAAAAUAAACACGUUUUUCUUUUGAUUA